rnacentral:tRNA from 1 species
GGUAGGGUGGCCGAGCGCAAGGCGGCGGUUUGUAGCACCGUGUACAGAGGUUUAAGUCCUCUCUCUAUCA